rnacentral:misc_RNA from 1 species
CAGUUGGCGUCCGAGCUUCGUCCAUCUGCAGGUUUCAUCGGGGGGAGGGGGGAGAACUCGCCGUUCGGGGGCACCAAUCCCUACUAGGCGCUCUUGCCCCCACCCAGCCGGAAACUCUCGUCGGCGUACCACGAUGUCGCCCACAGGUGGAACGGUUGUCCCCCAAACCGACUUCCCCGCCCGAACAUCCUCCUGGUGGCCCGUACUGCUUCCUCCUGGUUUGGGGUGCCCUCUAGUCUCUCCUGGUCCUUGGUGGAAUCCGAAAAAACCGGAUUUGGUCACCGCAAUCCAAAGUGCCAACGUCAUCACGGAGCGGUCACCCAUCCCAGACCGCCCCGCAACCUGGGGUGCUUAACUUUCGUGAUCUAACGGGAACGAGUGUUUCACCCCAGCCAACGGACGUUGACAACCU